UACGUAGGCAGCAAGCGUUGUUCGGAGUUACUGGGCGUAAAGAGUGUGUAGGCGGUUUUCUAAGUUCGGUGUGAAAUCUCCCGGCUCAACUGGGAGGGUGCGCCGGAAACUGGAGGGCUUGAGUAUGGGAGAGGAAAGCGGAAUUCCUGGUGUAGCGGUGAAAUGCGUAGAUAUCAGGAGGAACACCUGCGGUGUAGACGGCUUUCUGGACCAUCACUGACGCUGAGACACGAAAGCGUGGGGAGCAAACAGG
rnacentral:rRNA from 1 species